ensembl:lncRNA
GAGGGGAAACAAGAAGCUAACUGAUUUGUGCUGCAGAUUGUUGCUGAAUUCCCCCACCCCACUCCCUGUGUUCCUAACAACUCCUCCCUCUUCAGUAGUGAUCCUUCACUCAGUGAUCCUUUACUCAGUGAUCCUUCACUCAUGGGGAGGAACAGCUUCUGCUGUUAUGGCUGAAGGAAAGGAUUUGUCUUGAAUAUUUCUGAGAGCCUACUGCAGGUGAGACACAGCUAACAAGAUGCUGUGGAGUCCUUGGAAGGUGGGUUCUGGAGAGUGCACCUGAGCUGGUCCUUGAAAGUCUAAAAAUGGUUCUUGGAGAAAAAAAUCCUUUCUCACCUGUUUGUUUGAAGGAAGGCUGUAUUAUCUAUGUGCUAAAGAUUGCUGCCCCAGUCUGCUGUGAUAAUUAGCUUCUUUUAUAUCACUUGCUAAUACUC